GUGGGGAAUCUUGCGCAAUGGGCGAAAGCCUGACGCAGCCAUGCCGCGUGAAUGAUGAAUGUCUUAGGAUUGUAAAAUUCUUUCACCGGGGACGAUAAUGACGGUACCCGGAGAAGAAGCUCCGGCUAACUUCGUGCCAGCAGCCGCGGUAAUACGAAGGGGGCUAGCGUUGCUCGGAAUUACUGGGCGUAAAGGGCGCGUAGGCGGACAGCGUAGUCAGAGGUGAAAGCCCAGGGCUCAACCUUGGAAUUGCCUUUGAUACUGGCUGUCUUGAGUGUGGGAGAGGUGAGUGGAACUCCGAGUGUAGAGGUGAAAUUCGUAGAUAUUCGGAAGAACACCAGUGACGAAGGCGACUCACUGGCCCAAUACUGACGCUGAGGCGCGAAAGCGUGGGGAGCAAACAGGAUUAGAUACCCCAGUAGUCC
rnacentral:rRNA from 1 species